AAAAAAUGCACUUACAUACUUUCAAAGUCAAAAGUCAAAAUUUGAUAAUUAUAUUCCUUAUAUUUCGGCAGAAAAAUUAAUAAGUAUAUGAAUUAAGAUUUUCACAUUAUCAUAAUCUGUUCUUGGAUGCUUAUGAAACUUGAAGCCUGUAGCAGUUAAAAAUAAGAAAGAUGAAGAAAGGAGUUAAAAAUAUUGCAAGGACGAUCAAUUUCUCAAGUCAUCAGAAUUGUGUAAGACCGCAGCAAAUCCAGAAACUGGUUAGUGCAGAGGUUCUUAUUAAUUCAUGUACUAAAGUUGGUCCAGAAAGUGCAUGUUACAGCACAAACAGACCGGUGACCAUUAAAGUUUGCACCCGGAGGGAUAUAAAAAGAACUUGUCUACCAAAGUUGUGUGAUUGUCCACAAGAACUGUCUUCAGAAGUUAAUGAUUAUCGUGUGAUGGGUUGGAUGACAUUUAUUUUUAAAACUGCUGUAGCUGCUGGUCUCACUUACUGGACAACGGUUGAGGGUGUCUGGGGUGACUGCGAUCAAAUAGAGAAAUUAUAUUAUAGAAUAAUUACUACUAUUGAUCCUGUACUCCCAGGCAGGUCAGAAAGCGAAAACUUACAGUUGCCACACAUGGAGAACAUAAAAUAUUCAGCAACAGAAAUGUAUAAUCGAACUGUGGUUAAAUUCAUCACUGCUGUAGCAUCUAUCCCAUUAGCUAUCCAAAGUAAAAUCGACAACAUGUUGAUCCAGUGCGAUACAUCUGAAAACACUGAUCAUUGGAAUCAAGAUAAAGUUUUAAACUAAAAAUGAAACGCUUGGAACAAGACAAGAAAAAACUUCUAACUAGCAAAGAUUUACCUAUUCCAAGGAAUUUGUGUUUGUGGACGAAGAGCAUCGUGUAAAACUUCAUUCAGCUAUGGAUCUAUGCAAACCUGCCAUCGCAAUGUCCCAGCGGGAGCAACUAUCAUCUAAAAAUUACACCAGCUCCCAGCAGAUCCGCGGUAUAUCACACCUAUGGCCACGUCUUACGACCGUGGGAUGUGAGACUAUAGCGUAUAAAAAAUUAUAAGGACAUGGCAGCGGAACCCGAGUGUGUCCUGAGGACAUGCAGUGACCUAAGAGUAACAGAUUUCUGCAUCCAUCUCUCAAGGACAAUUACUUUACCCGAGUAUUUUGGGUACAGUAUUUGCAGACCUUUUUUAAGGCCUUGAUACCUCUCCUCCUUUUCCUUCCCAUUGCCAGUAAUAUUGUGGUCAGCCAGAGCCAGG